GAUGAAGAACGCAGCGAAAUGCGAUAGGUAGUGUGAAUUGCAGAUGUAACGUGAAUCAUCGAAUCUUUGAACGCAAAUUGCACUCUCUGGUAUUCCGGGGAGUAUGCCUGUUUGAGGGUCGCCAAAUCAAAAUCGAAAUUCGUUUGCUUUUUUGUAAAUGUUUAUCGGAUUUGAGCCGUCUUUUUUUAUUUUAAUUAAAGUGGCUUAAAAUGUAUUUUUUUGGUAUCGAAAUACGUUAUUUUACGAUCAAAUUGAUUAAAAAAACAAACGUUUUCGAAUGCCGCCUUUUUAAUGUAAUACGUUUGACUGUGAUGGUUAAUCAUAGUUUCAUUCGUAUACGAUUUUUUAAUUUUUGACCUCAAAUCAGGUAAGAACACCCGCUGAACUUAAGCAUAUCAAUAAGCGGAGGA
rnacentral:misc_RNA from 1 species